AUUGAACGCUGGCGGCAGGCCUAACACAUGCAAGUCGAGCGGAUGAAGGGAGCUUGCUCCUGGAUUCAGCGGCGGACGGGUGAGUAAUGCCUAGGAAUCUGCCUGGUUGUGGGGGAUAACGUCCGGAAACGGGCGCUAAUACCGCAUACGUCCUGAGGGAGAAAGUGGGGGGUCUUCGGACCUCACGCUAUCAGAUGAGCCUAGGUCGGAUUAGCUAGUUGGUGGGGUAAAGGCCUACCAAGGCGACGAUCCGUAACUGGUCUGAGAGGAUGAUCAGUCACACUGGAACGGAGACACGGUCCAGACUCCUACGGGAGGCAGCAGUGGGGAAUAUUGGACAAUGGGCGAAAGCCUGAUCCAGCCAUGCCGCGUGUGUGAAGAAGGUCUUCGGAUUGUAAAGCACUUUAAGUUGGGAGGAAGGGCAGUAAGUUAAUACCUUGCUGUUUUGACGUUACCAACAGAAUAAGCACCGGCUAACUUCGUG
rnacentral:rRNA from 1 species